rnacentral:lncRNA from 1 species
AUGGAGGAGCUGCAAGAACUGAUGGAAAAAGGCUUUAAAGGGAAGAGAAUUGUCCUCAAAAACAUCAAAUGUGAUGCACCAGCACGAGCCCUCAUCAAAGGAAUAGUUCAGUUUAAUGGCCGCUAUGGCUGUGACUUUUGUGAUGUAAAGGGAGUUCAUGAGAGCAAAAUGCUUUUUUUGUAUAAAGGAAAUCUCAGAACCAAUGAGUCAUUUAGACAGAAGACAAAUCCUGAACAUCACAAAACAGAUAGCAUUCUUUUGAAUCUGGACAUUGAUAUGAUCAGGCAGUUCCCAAUAGAUCCCAUGCAUUGUGUAGAUCUAGGAGUGACUGAGCGAAUGUUGAUGCUGUGGAAAGAAGGACCUUUGGCCCAUAGAUUAUCAGCUGGACAUUUUAGCACCAUUACUUAUUUUCAUCAAGCUGUCCGACAUCACAUACCUCCUGAAUUCAAUAGGAAACCAAGGGGGUUAGAUGAACUGAAGCACUGGAAAGCAACUGAAUUCGGAACAUUUUUGCUUUAUACUGGACCAGUGAUUUUGAAAUAUGUUCUCGAUAAGGAGAAGUAUAUUCACUUCCUUUCACUUAGUAUUGGAAUGCGCAUCUUGUACAGUGAAAACCUAAUGGAGCAUCGUGAUUAUGCAGAUGAGCUGUUAACAUAUUUUGUUGAAAAAGGUAGCAGCCUGUAUAGCAUGAGUUUCAUCUCAUAUAAUGUGCAUUGCUUGCUACAUCUCACUGAUGUUGCAAAUUACAACAGAUCAUUACACUAUUGUUCAGCGUACAAGUUUGAGAACAAUAUGGGUCAAAUCAAGAGGUUUAUCCGCGGUUCAAGUGAUCCACUGAUUCAAGUAGCUAACAGAUUGGCAGAGAGGCAAGCAAUAUCAAGUUCUAAGAAAUCAAAUGUUACCUCUGGUACGCCAAAGACAAAAGAAUGUUACAGAAUGACCAAUGAUAGCUACUGCCUUAUACAUGGAGUUCAAGAAAAUCUGAUUUUUUGUGAGGUUUUUUGCAGAAUGGAACCUUUGUACACUAAGCCAUGUGACUCCAGAAUAAUUGGCAUAUUCAAAGGAUUUCGGAAUCACACUAAAAUGUUACAUACUGACACCACUCAACUGAGACAUAAAGCAAUCAUGAUACCUUUGUCAUUGUUUGAUAAAGAUGAAUACAAUGCGGUAGCGCUUAUACCGCUCAUGCAUUCAGUUUGA